GACGAACGCUGGCGGCGUGCCUAAUACAUGCAAGUAGGACGCAGUUGCGAACGGGUGAGUAACGCGUAGGUAACUACCUAGUAGAGGGGGAUAACUAUUGGAAACGAUAGCUAAUACCGCAUACUAGUAGAUGUACCUGCGUUGUAUUAGCUAGUAGGUAGGGUAAAGGGCUACCUAGUCAACGAUACAUAGCCGACCUGCGAGGGUGAUAGGCCACCCGGGGACUUAGACACGGCCCAGACUCCUACGGGAGUCAGCAGUAGGGAAUCUUCGGCAAUGGGGUGAACCCUGACCGAGUAAUGCCGCGUGAGUGAAGAAGGGUUUCGGAUCGUAAAGCUCUGUUGUUAAGGAAGCGGUACUUAACCAGAAAGGGACGGCUAACUACGGGCCAGCAGCCGCGUAAUUC
rnacentral:rRNA from 1 species